UUCUUCGGGGCGGGGUGAGAUUCCCCACCGGCGGUAUAGUCCGCGACCCGCUUAGGCGGCUGAACCGGUGAUACUGCGGAUGCAGUAAAUUCCGGUACCGACAGUAUAGUCUGGAUGAGAGAAGAA
rnacentral:ncRNA from 1 species